AAACUACAAAGAAACAGAAUAUAAGCAGUGAUCUCAGAGCUGUUCAUCACCUUGUUCCAACCUUGGAAGGCUGAAGCUACUGACUGGUGCUGAACAGACAAGAUAUUCUACAAAAGAGAUACUAAUUAUCACCAUGAAGCUGCUGACUGUGUCUGUACUUCUUUGUGCAAUGAUCGCUCUGACCACUGCUGCGAAUGAAGUGGGUAAGGAUGGGUCUGAAUCAAAUCCCCAAGGAGAGCAUCUUGUAGAGAAGAGAUCUACAUGUUUCAGGGAUUUCUGGGGUUGGAC